UACAGAGGUCUCAAGCGUUGUUCGGAUUCAUUGGGCGUAAAGGGUGCGUAGGCGGCAGUGCAAGUCAGGUGUGAAAUCCCGGGGCUCAACCCCGGAACUGCACUUGAUACUGCUCUGCUAGAGUACUGGAGAGGAGACUGGAAUUUACGGUGUAGCAGUGAAAUGCGUAGAUAUCGGGAGGAACACCGGUGGCGAAGGCGGUUCUCUGGGCCUGUACUGACGCUGAGGAGCGAAAGCGUGGGGAGCGAACAGG
rnacentral:rRNA from 1 species